rnacentral:lncRNA from 1 species
CACAAUUUUGAUACUUCAGGGACUAUGGCAUUAAAUGAUUCAAAACUAGAUAGAAUUUAUUUUGAAAAUAGGUAUUUCUACAUCAGAGAGCAGUUUAAUGUCUUUAAAAAAUGUGGCAUUUCCCACCAACUUCCUUCAGUUUCUCUGGGCUGGUUUAUUUUUCUCCCUGUAGGAUUUUGUAUUAUGGACACUUUUCAAUCAAUUGUAUGAUCAAACAGUUGUACUGUGUACAAAAUUUUUCAUAAUAUCUGUUCCUUUUUCUUCUUUUCAUGAAGGAUACUUUUGAUGAGUAUGGAACAUAGAAGAGAAAGUAAGCAUGUGGGUCAUAGUUACUGAUGUUCUCCCAACUGUCUUUUGGGGUCAUAUACUUUUUUCAGUGUUUUGAUAUCUUUCCUUCUUUUAGAUCAUCAUUAUCAUGAUCAAUCCAUUCAAGGAGGGCCACAUCAGGACAAGUCUGGAAAAGAGGUCUUAGGCCUAGAGAUCAGACUAAGGGGAAAAGAGAAGAAAAAUACACAGCUGUCAGUUCAGAUGAAGGCAGAAUCCAAAAGAUAGAAAAACCACCUCCACUCAUAUCUUCUAAUUCCACCCAUAUUUGCAGGUCCCCAAGCCAGUAUUCAACUCUUUAGAAGUUCUGAAGAAUCCACAUUUAUAUUUUUCAAAUAUAAAUAUGCUACACUAACCUCAACCUAUAAGAUGCCUCAAACAUCUGUAUGUCUCUGAAAAGUAAAAAUGGUUUAAUGGAAAGAACAUUGGGUUCAACUCUCAACUUGGUCACAUACUGGCUCUGUGAUUUUGGGCAAGUCACUUUCCUUAUGAUUGCUUUCCCUGUUUAACUCAGCCUUGCCUAGCUAACAGCAGAUCUCUUUGCUGAUGACAUCAGAGAGGAGAAACUACAGAUGGAGCUCAUUAAGAGUUUACUUUUUCCACUGCCACCUUUCCCCUCCUCCAUCCCAUGACUAUGAAAAAAUGCUGGGCACACAGUGCUGCUGUCUGGUUGCCAUGGUGACCACAGCCUAUUAUCCCGCCUUGUCAUUCAUCAAGAAAGAAUUGCACUUGACAGAGAGAGGAGAAUGCCUGCAGUCUGCAGCAAAAAAAAAAGGGGGGGGCGGUUUUCUUUUCUUCUGAGUAUGUAAAAGGUCUUUAAUGCCCGUUUCGUUACAUGUUUUAUUUAACAUUAUUUAUUACUUGUAACGGCAAUAAUUGAUACCUGUAAAAAUACACCCCCUCCCUUCAAAGUGUUUAAUUUGCAAUUUGCUCGUUUGUCUUGCUUCCCCAUUUUCAAGCUACACCCCCCUUCACUUCCACCUCCGUGAGGGGAACAGCUAAAUGGUCACAUUCUCCAAAGAGAGUGACCAUUGUCCAGGUGCCUCAAAAAGCAAGCCAACCUCACCCCCCCCCCCUUAAUUGUGCCCUGUGCUCAUCAGCUUCUGCUGUCCUCCUCAUUUAGAAAAAUAAUUAGUGCACUUUGGGGAAAACAACAACAACAACAAUUGAACAUAACCUUUGACCAGAGCAGAUCCUCCAAGUGUGCAAUGCCUGUGGACUAAAAUAUUCAAAAAGGAAGGUUUCUGCCCUCCCCCCAAAAUGGAGGUCUUUCCAGGAGAGGGUAGAAUAUAAAACCAGUAAUUGCUCUUUACAAAGUUGGAUCCUAACCAAACUCAUUCUUCAAAGGCAGGAAAAGGUAAUUACUUGUUAUUUGGCCAUUCCUCAUCUUUGCCAUCUGAAUUAACCCAAAUUAAUUCUGAAAAUAUGUGGCCUAAUACCUUUUGUAAAUGAAUACAUUUGUAGGUUUAAACACCUUGUCUUUUUCUUUUACGCUCCCCCCCCCUUUUCUUUCUUUCUUUCUUCCUUGUUAUUAAGAACCUGGGAUUAUUUCCCUGUUAAUUGUUGGGUUGUUAAACUAUCUGUAUCUGGUUGGGUCAUUGUAAAAGCCUGUGCUCUACAGAACUGCCUGGUACCAGCUGAUUUCCUUGUUAAUGGGGAGAAUGUAUAGUAAAAAAAGUUUUAUUGGCUGGGUGGGAUUUUAAGUUGAGGUCCUCUUAGCUUGGUUUUUAAAUCUGUUGAAUCUUUUGUCCUGGAGAUCACAGGAAAGAUGGUAGAAGCACAGAUGCACCUGAAUUGCUGA